rnacentral:rRNA from 1 species
GGGGAAUAUUGCGCAAUGGGCGAAAGCCUGACGCAGCAACGCCGCGUGAGUGAAGAAGGCCUUCGGGUUGUAAAGCUCUGUCAGAAGGAAAGAAUGGGCCGGAUGACCUCCGGCUUUGACGGUACCUUCGAAGGAAGCACUGGCUAACGCUGUGCCAGCAGCCGCGGUAAUACAGAGAGUGCAAGCGUUGUUCGGAAUUAUUGGGCGUAAAGCGCGUGUAGGCUGCUUGAUAAGUCUGGCGUGAAAGCCUGAGGCUCAACCUCAGAAGUGCGUUGGAAACUGUCAAGCUGGAGUAUCGGAGUGGGAAGUGGAAUGCCGAGUGUAGAGGUGAAAUUCGUAGAUAUUCGGCAGAACAUCAGUGGCGAAGGCGACUUCCUGGACGAAUACUGACGCUGAGACGCGAAAGCGUGGGUAGCAAAC